UAGGGAAUCUUGCGCAAUGGGCGAAAGCCUGACGCAGCGACGCCGCGUGAGGGAAGAAGGCCUUCGGGUCGUAAACCUCUGUCCUUGGGGACGAUGAUGACGGUACCCAAGGAGGAAGCCCCGGCUAACUACGUGCCAGCAGCCGCGGUAAUACGUAGGGGCGAGCGUUGUCCGGAAUCACUGGGCGUAAAGGGUGCGUAGGCGGCUUGGCAAGUCCUGUGUGAAAGGUCGCGGCUCAACCGCGGUGGGUCAUGGGAAACUGCCAAGCUCGAGUGCCGGAGAGGAUAGCGGAAUUCCCGGUGUAGCGGUGAAAUGCGUAGAGAUCGGGAGGAACACCAGUGGCGAAGGCGGCUAUCUGGAAGGUCACUGACGCUGAGGCACGACAGCUGGGGAGCAAACAGGAUUAGAUACC
rnacentral:rRNA from 1 species